AUUGAACGCUGGCGGCAGGCCUAACACAUGCAAGUCGAGCGGAGCAGCGGACGGGUGAGUAAUACCUAGGAAUCUGCCUGGUCGUGAGGGAUGACGUCCGGAACCGGGCGCUAAUACCGCAUCCUAUCAGAUUAGCCUAGGUCGGAUUGGCUAGUUGGUGGGGUAAGGGCCUACCAAGGCGACGAUCCGUAACUGGUCUGAGAGGAUGAUCAGUCACACUGGAACUGAGACACGGUCCAGACUCCUACGGGAGGAAGCAGUGGGGAAUAUUGGACAAUGGGCGAAAGCCUGAUCCAGCCAGGCCGCGUGUGUGAAGAAGGUCUUCGGAUUGUAAAGCACUUUAAGUUGGGAGGCGUUACCAAAAGAAGAAGCACCGGCUAACUCCGUGCCAGCAGCCGCGGUAAUUC
rnacentral:rRNA from 1 species